UACAAAUAGGAUCUGUCAUUAUCACAAUAACAAACUUCAAAGUUCCAACCGCAAUUAGAAUUACCAUUGCAUUCUAAUGGUUGGGUGCACUAAACAAUUUAUAAGAAAGAGAUAUAGUUAAUUAGGAUACUAAUUGAAAGUAAAAUGAAUUGAAUCUGAGUGGAAUUAGCUUUUCAUACUAUGAUGUAAAACUUUCUUCUUGUCUAAAAGCUCCCUUGAUAUCCCUUGUCCCAAAACCCGAACAACGUCGCACCUCCUGAUCCUCGUUCAUCGGCAGCCUGAGCCUCUUGCUCUUCCAAGGUCGUCGCCAAGCCACCGCAUACCACCAUCGCAAAAAGAGACUAUGUGGGAGCAAGUGCUUCUUACCGAAAAAAUGUUAACUUACCCCUACCUUCACCGCCAUAAUUAUCUCGUCUCGCAUUCUUCUGAUGCUUGGAUGAUUUCUGAGUGCUAGGGCUUCCUUGAAUCAAUGGAUCUCUCCAAAUCCUAGGGGCGGAGAAUUCGUUGUAGGAGACUUUUGAGGUUGUGAGAGUUGCCACCCAAUUUGUCUACACAAGGUUUGAAGAUGAUGCAUCAUUGGGUUCGGGAUUGGAGAGCUUGUGUAGUUUCAUUAUCAUAAUUUGAAAUUUAUACAUUUUAUAAUUGGUUUUAGUUUUGAGUUAACUUUGACUUUGUUGGUUCACAUUUGGAGUUGACUUUGUAGUUGAUUAAAUUUUAAUUCUAAAAGUUAUUUAAUA